GAUAAACGCUGGCGGCGUGCCUAAUACAUGCAAGUCGUGCGGUAAGGCCCCUUCGGGGGUACACGAGCGGCGGACGGCAGAGUAACGCGUAGGAACGUACCCCAAAGUGAGGGAUAACUGCUCGAAAGAGUAGCUAAUACCGCAUACGAUCUAUGGAUGAAAGCGGGGGAUCGCAAGACCUCGCGCGAUUGGAGCGGCCGAUAUCAGAUUAGGUAGUUGGUGGGGUAAAGGCUCACCAAGCCGACGAUCUGUAGCUGGUCUGAGAGGACGACCAGCCACACUGGGACUGAGACACGGCCCAGACUCCUACGGGAGGCAGCAGUGGGGAAUUUUGGACAAUGGGCGCAAGCCUGAUCCAGCCAUGCCGCGUGCAGGAUGAAGGCCUUCGGGUUGUAAACUGCUUUUGUACGGAACGAAAAGGUUUGGCUUAAUACGUUGAACUCAUGACGGUACCGUAAGAAUAAGCACCGGCUAACUACGUGCCAGCAGCCGCAGUAA
rnacentral:rRNA from 1 species